CCUUUAUUCUUCUCCCUGGUUGCAACGGUGUCCUUUUCCCUCCCUCCCUCCCUUCCUUCCUUCCUUCCUUCCUUCCUCCCUCUCUCCCCUCUUUCAUGCUAACCCUCCCUCAAGUCUUUCCUGGAUUUCCUAGUCUUUCUCAGGCUCUCCUCUCCUCUUCUCUCCGGGAUCUGUCCCCCUCCCCCCCGCGGAUCGGCCUCCCUGUGCCCCCUCCGAAUCCAUCUUGGGAGAUGAAUAUGUUGCCUUAUUGGAUGCCGAGGCCAGAGCCGGGUGAUGGGGCUCGGCCAGCGUGGCGCAUUUUCUUCAUGCAUAUUGAGGAUAUGCGACACGUCGCGGGAUCAAACACGGCAGCAUUGUGUGCCCUGCCCCGCUGGCUCCUCGUUAAUCUUGAAGGCGCGCUGGUAUCGCUUGGCCUGGGGAGGUUGCAGUAAGGUCCUUCCACAGUCGGGAGCCCGCUCGCUGCUCCACUCCGGCUCCGCAGGAAGGACAGAGUCCUUCCUGGGUCGCUGUAGAGCCGAGGUCCCUCGCUGAGGUCAGAGGAGCUCAGAAGACAGGACCCAGACUUGCCUCGCAAAAAGAUGAAGGCUCGUGAAAGUCAGCGUGCAAACUCUGAGUUGAGUCCCAAGGAACGGAUGUGAAAAGACGACCUCAGGAUCGGCAACGUUUGCACUAAUCCCCUCUUCUCUGCUUACUAAUGUGUUAGAGAAGCCCAGAACUUCUCGUUCCAAAGCAAAAUGUAAAGAUCUGGCCCUGCCUAGAAUUGUGUGGGGUCAAGCUUCUCAAACAUCAAGCCUUCUACUCCCACCUCUACUAUUAUUGAUUUAAAAAUUUCCCUGAAAUUAAGUCAUUUAAAAAACUCAAAUACAUGCUUUUAGAAAGAAAAGUUGGUACUACUACUGUAAAUUGAGAAGUAGCUGUUACUACAAAAGGAAAUUCUAAAAGAUAAACAGCUAAAACCAAGCACUCUUGGUGCCCAUGCUUGCUGGGGAAAGACUGUAGAGUGUCAUUAGAAAGUGUUGCAGGUGUUAAAUAACAAAUCUCCGAAGAAAAAGAUGUUUUGUACUAGUCAGAGUUAAUUUAAUUCUUCAUCCUCACAAUACUAAAAAUCAUGUUGUUGACCCCAAGAGCUGCUGUGGGGUAGGAUUUUUCCAUAUCAUUCUCUGUUGCAAACAAUUUGAGAUGAAAACGUAACAUGUUGAAUAACUAAUAUUUACAAAAUAAGUGUGCUAAGUGUUUUCAAAUGACACCACAUUCAGUUCUCACAGUGGGCUCACGAGGAAGAGGCCCUUCAGGUGGCCAAGUGUGGGUGUCAUCCAACAAGGUGGCCAGGGGCUGAAGUCACCUUUUUCUGUGCUCACCCCUCCCUCCCUUUGUGUGUCUUAAAUAAAGCUAUCCUGGGG
ensembl:lncRNA